UCUUUCAUUUUUCGUUUUCCAAUUCGAAGCCCAUUUGCAAAGUCUUUUUCUCCCGCCAUUGGGAAAAAAGAAUCUUCGCCCUUUCGCCUGAAUCGACGUUCGAAGAACCGCAGCUGAUUUAGAUUACUGUGUUAGAUUAUCGCGUAGAUUCCUUCUGAUUUUCAGCUGAACAGCUGCUAAAACCCUAGGGUUUUGUGUUUGAAAUCUUCUGCAAGAUGAGUACCAUGAAGUUUUGCCGGGAAUGUAACAACAUUCUUUAUCCGAAGGAGGACAGAGAUGAGAAGAUUCUUCUCUAUGCGUGUCGCAACUGUGAUCACCAGGAAUGAGAUUCAUCAUGCUGUAGGGGAACGCACUCAAGUUCUGCAAGAAGUUGCUGCAGAUCCAACUCUCCCUCGCACUAAAGCUGUCCGAUGUGCUCAAUGUAACCAUGGGGAAGCUGUUUUCUUCCAGGCCACUGCCAGAGGGGAGGAAGGUAUGACAUUGUUCUUCGUUUGCUGCAAUCCAAAUUGUGGCCACAGAUGGAGAGAUUAACAUCACCGAAAUGCAAUCCAAGUUAUCUUAGCAUGUCUGUGUGUCACCAAGUGUUUUAACCAUCUUGUGUAUGUGGGUUGAUAAGGACCUACACAAAGAUGGACCUGGGACAAUGCUAAUUUACUAAUAUCGUGAAAAUAACGUUGAAAUGUUAGAAAAAUGAUCUCAAGAUUCACUAUAUUUCGUUCCAUAUACUUUCAAUUUGUACUUCCAAUAAAUCUAAAAUAAAAUUUUUCAUUCAA